ACGGGUGAGUAACACGUGGGUAACCUGCCUCAAAGAGGGGGAUAGCCUCCCGAAAGGGAGAUUAAUACCGCAUAACAUUAGUUUUUCGCAUGGAGAACUAAUUAAAGGAGUAAUCCGCUUUGAGAUGGACCCGCGGCGCAUUAGCUAGUUGGUGAGGUAACGGCUCACCAAGGCGACGAUGCGUAGCCGACCUGAGAGGGUGAUCGGCCACAUUGGAACUGAGACACGGUCCAGACUCCUACGGGAGGCAGCAGUGGGGAAUAUUGCACAGUGGGCGAAAGCCUGAUGCAGCAACGCCGCGUGAGUGAUGAAGGCCUUCGGGUUGUAAAGCUCUGUCUUUUGGGACGAUAAUGACGGUACCAAAGGAGGAAGCCACGGCUAACUACGUGCCAGCAGCCGCGGUAAUACGUAGGUGGCAAGCGUUGUCCGGAUUUACUGGGCGUAAAGGAUGCGUAGGCGGAUUUUUAAGUGAGAUGUGAAAUUCCCGAGCUUAACUUGGGAGCUGCAUUUCAAACUGGAAGUCUAGAGUGCGGGAGAGGAAAGUGGAAUUCCUAGUGUAGCGGUGAAAUGCGUAGA
rnacentral:rRNA from 1 species